rnacentral:snRNA from 1 species
GUGCUUGCUUCGGUGGCACAUAUACUAAAAUUGGAAUGAUACAGAGAAGAUCAGCAUGGCCCCUGCGCAAGGAUGACACGCAAAUUUGUGAAGUGAUCCAUAUUUUU